rnacentral:rRNA from 1 species
AGGUGUGAUCUUACCAACGGUAAUGCACCGAAUCCCAUCAGAACUUCGCAAUUAAGUGCGCUUGGGUUAGAGUAGUACUGGGAUGGGUGACCUCCCGGGAAGUCCUAGUGUUGCACCCU